UUCCCNGACGCNGGCGGCGUGCCUAACACAUGCANGUCGAACGAGAAAGCUUUAGCUUGCUAGAGCGAGUAAAGUGGCGCACGGGUGAGUAACGCGUGGGUAAUCUGCCCUUGAAUUUGGGAUAACACUUCGAAAGGAGUGCUAAUACCGGAUAACAUCUUUUUCAUUGCGGUGAGAGAGAUCAAAGAUAGCCUCUUCAUGAAAGCUAUUGUUUGGGGAUGAGCCCGCGUACCAUUAGCUUGUUGGUGGGGUAAAGGCCUACCAAGGCGACGAUGGUUAGCUGGUCUGAGAGGAUGAUCAGCCACACUGGAGCUGGAACACGGUCCAGACUCCUACGGGAGGCAGCAGUGAGGAAUUUUGCGCAAUGGGCGAAAGCCUGACGCACAACGCCCGUGAGUGAUAAGGAUUUCNGUUCNUAAACUCUGUCAANUGGGAAAANUUAUCAUAUUUAAUANUAUAUGG
rnacentral:rRNA from 1 species